rnacentral:snoRNA from 1 species
CCAGGUGAUGAGUUGGCACUGGGCUCUGAAUACAAAGCAUGAGCGACACGCCACUUUGCGGCAGGCCUAGAAAACCUCGCCCACUGAAC